GAUGAACGCUGGCGGCGUGCCUAAUACAUGCAAGUCGAGCGAACAGAUGAGGAGCUUGCUCCUCUGACGUUAGCGGCGGACGGGUGAGUAACACGUGGAUAACCUACCUAUAAGACUGGGAUAACUUCGGGAAACCGGAGCUAAUACCGGAUAAUAUAUUGAACCGCAUGGUUCAAUAGUGAAAGACGGUUUUGCUGUCACUUAUAGAUGGAUCCGCGCCGCAUUAGCUAGUUGGUAAGGUAACGGCUUACCAAGGCAACGAUGCGUAGCCGACCUGAGAGGGUGAUCGGCCACACUGGGACUGGGACACGGUCCAGACUCCUACGGGAGGCAGCAGUAGGGAAUCUUCCGCAAUGGGCGAAAGCCUGACGGAGCAACGCCGCGUGAGUGAUGAAGGUCUUCGGAUCGUAAAACUCUGUUAUUAGGGAAGAACAAAUGUGUAAGUAACUAUGCACGUCUUGACGGUACCUAAUCAGAAAGCCACGGCUAACUACGUG
rnacentral:rRNA from 1 species